GGGCUCUUGGCACAGUUGGUAGCGCGCACGCUUCGCAUUGUAUGUAAAUGCGUGAGGUCGUGGGUUCAAUUCCCACAGUGUCCA
rfam:Galerina marginata CBS 339.88 GALMAscaffold_51_Cont847, whole genome shotgun sequence.